rnacentral:rRNA from 1 species
CUGUCUCUUUAGUAAAAUAAAAAGUGCUGAUUUUGUGAAGAAGCAAAAGUGUAGGAAAAAGACAAGAAGACCCUAUUAAGCUUUACUUCUAUGUUUUGUUUUUUAUUUUUUAGUAAUAAAAAACAAAACUUUAAAGUUUGGUUGGGGUGACUUAAAAGGAUAAAAUCCUUUUUUAAAAUUUUUUACUUUUGGUUUAAGUAUGAUCCGAUUUUUUCGAUUAAUAAAACAAGUUACUAUAGGGAUAACAGCGUAAUUUUUUCGGCAAGUUCUUAUUUAUGAAAAAGUUUGGCACCUCGAUGUGGGCUUAGA